CGUCGCUUUCUAGUGUCUGUGGUGUCGGCGCUGCAGGAUGACGCGAGCCUCUCGCGUCCCUGGUUUUCUCGGUCGCAGCGUUGAGUUAUUGGGUGGAAAGGCAUCACCUUAGAGUCAACCUUCUUUGAAACCACUGUCUCAGAGAAAUCCCUCCAAGACACAGGUAAUUAGAGAGGGUAUGUGAACCAAGGAGCCAAUCAAAUUCUCCCACAUAAGAAUUUGGGACACAGAAGAUGAAGCUGAGGACCACAAGGAUUUAGAUACUGAUGCUAAAGGAAAAAGGAAGAAGCAGAGGGUCAGCAGAUGUUGAAAGAGGUAUAAUCAAGCUCAUACUCCAUUAAACAGAAAGCAAACUAAGAGCUGGAGAGAUGAAGAGACUUGGUCAACAUCAUACAUGAACUAACUCCUGUUGUAUCAAAGGUCUUGAGAACUCUGGCCACCUGCCACUCAUCUGUGCUAUACCCAAUAGCAGCCUUAUUAGGCUUUUGGAUCCUAGAGUUGCUGCUAUCUCUCGUACCACAAAACCACCUGCUUCUGAUUCUCUAGGAAGACUGCUGAGAGUCAACAUCGAGCCACUGGUGAAAAUAAUGUCUUGGGAGCAUCUGAGAGUGCUUAU
rnacentral:lncRNA from 10 species